GGGGUUGUACUGGUUUCGACGGGGACCAUGCAGCUGGUGAAGCUAUCCCCAUGCAAUGGGUUAAAUGGCAAACCUAAAUAUAAACGCUAACGACGAAUUAGCAUACGCUGCUUAAUUGCAGCUGUCAGACUUAAAGCACCCACACUUUAAGACCCUGGCAUCGACGCAUGUGGGAAACGACGUAUGCAAAGCUUUGCGCAUAUGGGCGUAAUAUGAAGCUACUGAAACCGUCCGGGUGUUCGUUCUCUGACGGCGGAGGGAAUGUCAAAUAACGAACUAUGAUAGUAGAAGAACAGGGAAUUGGUUUUCGGACAGGGGUUCGAUUCCCCUCAGCUCCAC
rnacentral:tmRNA from 1 species